rnacentral:rRNA from 1 species
CCUACGGGGGGCUGCAGUGGGGAAUAUUGGACAAUGGGGGCAACCCUGAUCCAGCCAUGCCGCGUGUGUGAAGAAGGCCCUCGGGUUGUAAAGCACUUUCAGUGAGGAAGAACGCCUGGUGGUUAAUACCCAUCAGGAAAGACAUCACUCACAGAAGAAGCACCGGCUAACUCCGUGCCAGCAGCCGCGGUAAUACGGAGGGUGCGAGCGUUAAUCGGAAUUACUGGGCGUAAAGCGCGCGUAGGUGGCUUGAUAAGCCGGUUGUGAAAGCCCCGGGCUCAACCUGGGAACGGCAUCCGGAGAGGUCAAGCUAGCGGGCAGGGGGGGAAGGGAGAGCCCGCGGUGGAGCGGCGACACGCGGCGAGAUCGGGAGGAAUACCAGUGCCGAAGGGGGCCUUAUGGACGGAAACGGACAGUGACGUGCGAAGUCGUGGGUAGCAAACAGGACUAGGUACCGCUGUGGGC